rnacentral:rRNA from 1 species
UUUUAUGGAGAGUUUGAUCCUGGCUCAGAGUGAACGCUGGCGGCGUGCCUAAUACAUGCAAGUCGAACGAUGAAGCUUCUAGCUUGCUAGAAGUGGAUUAGUGGCGCACGGGUGAGUAAGGUAUAGUUAAUCUGCCCUACACAAGAGGACAACAGUUGGAAACGACUGCUAAUACUCUAUACUCCUGCUUAACACAAGUUGAGUAGGGAAAGUUUUUCGGUGUAGGAUGAGACUAUAUAGUAUCA